UACGUAGGUGGCAAGCGUUAUCCGGAUUUACUGGGUGUAAAGGGCGUGUAGGCGGGAUGGUAAGUCAGAUGUGAAAACUAUGGGCUCAACCCAUAGCCUGCAUUUGAAACUAUCGUUCUUGAGUGUUGGAGAGGCAGGCGGAAUUCCGUGUGUAGCGGUGAAAUGCAUAGAUAUCGCGCAGAACCCCGAUUGCGAAGGCAGCCUGCCGGCCCCACACUGACGCUGAGGCACGAAAGCGUGGGUAUCGAACAGG
rnacentral:rRNA from 1 species